GGCCUUAUGGUCUAGUAGCAUGAUUCCUCGUUUGGGUCUUUCCAAGCUUCGAGGAGGUCCUGGGUUCAACUCCCAGUGAGGCCC